CUGGCACGGUGCGGUGGGGCAGCUGGUGUUGUGAAUCAGGCCGUCGCCAAUCAGAGAACGGCUACUUCACAACA
rnacentral:pre_miRNA from 1 species